UUGGCAUGUGGACAUAUGAUUUCUCAUGUAUGUAUCAACAAAAUGCUUUGCCUCUUUUGGAUUUCACAAUAUCUCUACAAUGCUAUAUAUUGAGAUGAGUCUUUAGUUUAGAAAGCAUCUUUUAUUGUAGAAAACAUUAACUUUUUUUUGGUCAUUUUGCAAUUCCAUCUAGAUACAGACUUGUAGGUAUUUCAGAUAUGGGUUAUCCUAUUUUUGUUUGUAAUUUUAUGCAGAACUGAAUCAAGGACAUUUAAGGAUGGCAUUUUGCUUGUCAAUAGAGAUGGAGUUUGUAUGGUUUAACAGAGUG
rnacentral:lncRNA from 1 species